AGACGGAUAGCUAGGUCAAAUGGUGGUUCCAUCCAAGUUUUCCAAGGAAUUUCCAAACUGCUUUCCAGACUGGUUGUACCAAUUUGAAGUCUCACCAGCAAU
rnacentral:pre_miRNA from 1 species